rnacentral:lncRNA from 10 species
ACCCAGACCCCAGGCCCUGGAAACAGAGGAGGGGCAGGUAAGCAACCAGAGGCAGGAAAGGAAAAAUGGGAAGGUUUUCUCAGAGUUAACUUUCUCUAACCUUGAAGCCGAAUCCAGGGGCAGGAGCAGGAGUCAACUCUGAGAGGACGUGAUAGAGCUUCAGCAACAUGGAGAGGAGAUAGCCGGUCUGGCUAGGAUGGAAGAAAUGUACAUGGAGAAGAAAGACAGAAGAACCAUCACUGAGCACUAAACUAAUCAGCCAUAAUGGGCAGAUUGACUGGCAAGCCUAUCACCACCUUGAUAACAGAUGACAUUAAAGAGAAAGUAUCAAUGUGAGGAUUAAAUGGGAUGAAAAAUAAAACAUCUGUCGGAGUGCCUGGAAUAUGAGCCUAGUAGAGCACCCAGCACACAGUAGGCUCUUAAUACAUGCUUGGGAUGAUUGAGGCAUUUUCUUCCACCAUAUUCCAUGAUCUUCUAGCCCUGGGGGUGCAGAGAGAUUACCUGGCCAAGAAGACUAGGGGUAAAGUACUUUUCUUACCUGGUACACAAAUAUCCAAGAUUGGAAAGAAGAAAGAAAAUGACGACAGAAUUUUGCAGUCUACAAGGCAAACACUGCCAUUCAUGUAGUUAUGGAGUUCCUACUAUGUGCAGACAAUGGGAAACUUUACGAAGUGGAUGGAGCAGCAUCAGCCAUGGCUCAGGAAUGCAGCCGCCUACUUUCCUGUUAUCAGCAGGCAUUCCUGUGGUUACACUAUUCCUGCUUAGCUUAUCAAUGGCCCUUGGGAACACAGAGUCAGCACCCAAAGAGGGCCAGAACAGCCUGCUUGUUGGACGCCCAUCCACACCAUGAGGCUUUCCUGGAUGUAGAGGGAAGUUACUGUUCCUCGGGAAAACCCCUCUUCCCAGCUGGGUUUUAAAAAGCAGCAGGUUUAAGAGCUGACCAUAUCUGAAAGACUCUAGAAUAGCAGAGGAUUGAUUAAAGGGACACAGAGGUUCAUGUGAUGUAAUAAGAAAGAAAUAAAGGAAGCU